rnacentral:rRNA from 1 species
GAUGAACGCUGGCGGCGUGCCUAAUACAUGCAAGUCGAGCGAACGGACGAGAAGCUUGCUUCUCUGAUGUUAGCGGCGGACGGGUGAGUAACACGUGGAUAACCUACCUAUAAGACUGGGAUAACUUCGGGAAACCGGAGCUAAUACCGGAUAAUAUUUUGAACCGCAUGGUUCAAAAGUGAAAGACGGUCUUGCUGUCACUUAUAGAUGGAUCCGCGCUGCAUUAGCUAGUUGGUAAGGUAACGGCUUACCAAGGCAACGAUGCAUAGCCGACCUGAGAGGGUGAUCGGCCACACUGGAACUGAGACACGGUCCAGACUCCUACGGGAGGCAGCAGUAGGGAAUCUUCCGCAGUGGGCGAAAGCCUGACGGAGCAACGCCGCGUGAGUGAUGAAGGUCUUCGGAUCGUAAAACUCUGUUAUUAGGGAAGAACAGAUGGUAAGUAACUGUGCACAGCUUGACGGUACCUAAUCAGAAAGCCACGGCUAACUACGUG